rnacentral:rRNA from 1 species
GAUGAACGCUAGCUACAGGCUUAACACAUGCAAGUCGAGGGGCAGCACAGUGUAGCAAUACAUGGGUGGCGACCGGCGCACGGGUGCGUAACGCGUAUCCAACCUUCCCGUUACUCUUGGAUAGCCUUCCGAAAGGGAGAUUAAUACAAGAUGGUAUUCAAAUUCCGCAUGUUAUUUGAAUUAAAGAUUUAUCGGUAACGGAUGGGGAUGCGUGACAUUAGGUAGAUGGCGGGGUAACGGCCCACCAUGCCUACGAUGUCUAGGGGUUCUGAGAGGAAGGUCCCCCACACUGGAACUGAGACACGGUCCAGACUCCUACGGGAGGCAGCAGUGAGGAAUAUUGGGUCAAUGGUCGGAAGACUGAACCAGCCAAGUAGCGGUGAAGGAUGAAGGUUCUAUGGAUUGUAAACUUCUUUUAUACGGGAAUAAAACACCUUACGUGUAGGGUCUUGUAUGUACCGUAUGAAUAAGCAUCGGCUAACUCCGUG